rnacentral:rRNA from 1 species
GCCCCUAGGGGAAGGGUUGGUAGGAGUUAACCAUCGCGCGAUCCCGACCUCCUCACAAAGGAAGACAAUCAAAGAAAUACCUCAUGCUUCAAAUUUGUCACACAACGGUUACCAUACGUGCAUGCUACGGGACUUGCAAACCUCAACACAAGUAUUUCUCAAAUUCACAAUUACCCUACUAGCAUAACUCUAAUAUCACCAUCCUCAUAUCUCAAAACGAUCAUCAAGCAUCAAACUUCUCAUAGUAUUCAAUGCACUUUAUAUGAAAGUUUUUAUUAUACCCAUCUUGGAUGCCCAUCAUAUUAGGACUAGUUUUAUAACCAAAGCAAAUUACCAUGCUGUUCUAAAAGACUCUCAAAA